rnacentral:lncRNA from 1 species
GUCGUCUGCUCAAACGAGAUCGAAAAUGGGAAAAUUUGCCAGAAAAGUUCAAGAAAAGUCAGACAAAUACAUUCCAAUCGUUCUAAAUAGUUUGACUAUAAUAUUUUGCAUGUGUACAUUCAUACCUAUAGGAUCCGUUAAAAACUAUUUUCAUGGAGAAUGUGUGCUUUAUGCCCAGCCGGUUCUGACUGCUGUAACACGACCAAAUAAUUUGACUACAAUAACAGUUGACUUGAAGUCAUCAGUUUGGGGUGAACUAAGUACCUGUUACUAUGUUAUAUACACGCCUGUUGUGGUCGGAAUCUACACCUUUAUCUGGCUUUGGUUCCAUAUUCAGUUGAGAAUGUCGAUAUUUGAUGAAGGGUAAGUCCAGUUGGUAACCGGCACUUAGAUUAGUCGACAUUCCCAUGAAGUGCCGAAGUGUCUGUGAUGAUGACUAAGAAAUAUACAGUGAAUCCUUACAAUUGACAGUAGUGGGCCUUUGCCAUGGGUUUAUUUCCAGUGUGAUAGUUCGUCCUAAAAAUUGGCAUAAGUCUUGAUGCUCUAUUUAAAAAAAUAUAUCCAUGAAACAGUAAAUGAUGUUAAUGUUUUAUCACAAUCGCCUGAAGAUUUCAUAAUUAUAGCGAACAUUUUUCUACUAAAAAUAUUUUAUUUACCCCAUUUUUCGGUAUAAUUAUGAAAUCUUCAGGCGAUUUUAUUAGUAGCAUUAUUUUUUUAUUGAACUGUAUCAUAAGUUCACAGAAUAGAAGUUCCUUCAUAAUAUAAGUUUCCAAAAGGAAGAAAUAUUCUGGAAUAUUAUUUCCACAGGAAUGAAUAUUACAGUAUAAGUUCCUAACGGAAUAAAUGGUAUAGAAUAUUUGUUCCAACAGGAAUAGGUAUUAUAUAUGACAUUGUUUAUAACAAAGUUUCCAGUGGAACUUCUGUUAGGCGGAACAAAUAUACAUUGACACAUGUCAUACCCUUUUCAAAGAGAAUUGCAAAGUCACAUGAAGGUUUUCAUCUCAUAAACCUUUAUAUAGUAACUGCAUGUGUUACUGUUAACACAAUGAAAUACAUUGAAUGCCAAAAAUACAGUUUUAAAAGAGAGACAAGAGAUACCAAAGGAACAUUCAAAAAGUUGAAAAUUAACUGACAAUGCCAUGGCUUAUGGUAUAAUAGACCUCCCCAAAAAGAAGAAGACAAAGACAAACACACAAUCAAUAGUGUACAACAACAGAACCAAAGACUGAGCACACAAACCGCAUCAUAAACUGGGAUGAUCACAGGUGCUUCUGAAGGGUAAGCAGAUGCUGCUCCACAUGAGGGACCCACUGUGUUGCUGAUGUUUUAGUACAAACCCAGUGAUAAGUCUGAUCAGUUAAUCACAUACAUGUAUGAAAAGCACAAAACUAAAAAAAAAAAAUGACAGAAAAUAUUAAUUCAAGCAUCAGAUUUUUACGAAUAUACUAUUACUAAAACAAAGUCAUUGAAGUGGUGAUAUGAAAAAAUGUAUUAUGCACUUCAUAUUGUUACAAUGUUGUUUCAAUUUAACUGUCUCUUAUUUAAACCUGUCAAAGAAACUUAGAAUUUAAGAAAGUAUAAAUAUUUUGUACGAAUCAGUUUUUAUUCAUUUACAAAAUGUAUCAUACAUUAUUUAAUUUUACAACGAAAGAACCAACGCAUGGUGAAUCUGUAGUAUGGUAGAGUCAUAAGUGAUACCUCAGGUGUACGGGUCGUUAUGAUAAAAAACAUAAAAGUAGAGAGUCUUAUAACACACACUUUAGGGACUGCUGCAGAAAUUAUUGAAUCACAUGUUUCGUGCUAGGGCACCGUCAUCAGGAUAAAAACAAUACAUAAAUCAUGCUGAAGUACAAAAUCGGGUUGCAAUGUUACAAUGGUAAGUAACGUUAUUAAUCGCAAGUGAAAGUACAUUGUAAGUAUGUAAGUAAACUAUAAAAAGAAAUUAAAAUUAAAUAUUUUUGUUGUGAAAAUGUCUUCCUUAUUUAAAUUUGUUUUCAUUUUAUAUAUUUUAGAAAUGUGCUCGCAGCAUUUAUAAUUGGAGGAGUAACAAACAUCAUACUAUUUAUUACCCUCUUUGUAACCAGCUGUAUUGUAG